rnacentral:tRNA from 1 species
UAAAGAAACAGGACUUGAACCUGCAAUUGAGAAAUCAAAACUCCCUGUAAUUCCAUUU